AGGUUUGCUUCUUUGAGACCGGCGCACGGGUGCGUAACGCGUAUGCAACCUACCUUCAUCUGGGGGAUAGCCCGGAGAAAUCCGGAUUAACACCGCAUAAAAUCACAGUAUUGCAUAAUACAAUGAUCAAAUAUUUAUAGGAUGGAGAUGGGCAUGCGUGUCAUUAGCUAGUUGGCGGGGUAACGGCCCACCAAGGCGACGAUGACUAGGGGAUCUGAGAGGAUGGCCCCCCACACUGGUACUGAGACACGGACCAGACUCCUACGGGAGGCAGCAGUAAGGAAUAUUGGUCAAUGGAGGCAACUCUGAACCAGCCAUGCCGCGUGCAGGAAGACUGCCCUAUGGGUUGUAAACUGCUUUUAUUCGGGAAUAAACCUAUUUACGUGUAAAUAGCUGAAUGUACCGAAGGAAUAAGGAUCGGCUAACUCCGUGCCAGCAGCCGCG
rnacentral:rRNA from 1 species